CCUACGGGAGGCAGCAGUGAGGAAUAUUGGUCAAUGGACGGAAGUCUGAACCAGCCAUGCCGCGUGAAGGAUGAAGGCGUUUGCGUUGUAAACUUCUUUUACCAGGGAAGCGGUACCUGGGGAAUAAGCACCGGCUAACUCCGUGCCAGCAGCCGCGGUAAUACGGAGGGUGCAAGCGUUAUCCGGAUUUACUGGGUUUAAAGGGUGUGUAGGCGGGCAUUUAAGUCUGGGGUGAAAUCUCCGAGCUCAACUCGGAAACUGCCUUGGAUACUAUUUGUCUUGAAUUAUGUUGAGGUAGGCGGAAUAUAACAUGUAGCGGUGAAAUGCAUAGAUAUGUUAUAGAACACCGAUUGCGAAGGCAGCUUACUAACAAUAUUGACGCUGAGGCACGAAAGCGUGGGGAUCAAACAGGAUUAGAUACCCUUGUAGUC
rnacentral:rRNA from 1 species